GCCACAGUCUUAUCUUAGUCAGUAAAGCAUGAGACUCUUCAUCUCAGGGUUGUGAGUUCGGGCCCUGCAUUGGGCA